rnacentral:rRNA from 1 species
AUGCCGGAUGCUCCAGUUGAUCGCAUGGUCUUCUGGGAAAGCUUUCGCGGUAUGGGAUGGGGUCGCGUCCUAUCAGCUUGACGGCGGGGUAACGGCCCACCGUGGCUUCGACGGGUAGCCGGCCUGAGAGGGCGACCGGCCACAUUGGGACUGAGAUACGGCCCAGACUCCUACGGGAGGCAGCAGUGGGGAAUAUUGCACAAUGGGCGCAAGCCUGAUGCAGCGACGCCGCGUGAGGGAUGGAGGCCUUCGGGUUGUAAACCUCUUUUAUCGGGGAGCAAGCGWGAGUGAGUUUACCCGUUGAAUAAGCACCGGCUAACUACGUGCCAGCAGCCGCGGUAAUACGUAGGGUGCAAGCGUUAUCCGGAAUUAUUGGGCGUAAAGGGCUCGUAGGCGGUUCGUCGCGUCCGGUGUGAAAGUCCAUCGCUUAACGGUGGAUCCGCGCCGGGUACGGGCGGGCUUGAGUGCGGUAGGGGAGACUGGAAUUCCCGGUGUAACGGUGGAAUGU